GGGGAAUAUUGGACAAUGGGCGCAAGCCUGAUCCAGCCAUGCCGCGUGAGUGAUGAAGGCCUUAGGGUUGUAAAGCUCUUUCAGUGGGGACGAUAAUGACGGUACCCACAGAAGAAGCCCCGGCUAACUUCGUGCCAGCAGCCGCGGUAAUACGAAGGGGGCUAGCGUUGUUCGGAUUUACUGGGCGUAAAGCGCACGUAGGCGGAUCGUUAAGUCGGGGGUGAAAUCCUGGAGCUCAACUCCAGAACUGCCUUCGAUACUGGCGAUCUUGAGUCCGGAAGAGGUGAGUGGAACUCCUAGUGUAGAGGUGGAAUUCGUAGAUAUUAGGAAGAACACCAGUGGCGAAGGCGGCUCACUGGUCCGGUACUGACGCUGAGGUGCGAAAGCGUGGGGAGCAAACAGGA
rnacentral:rRNA from 1 species